rnacentral:rRNA from 1 species
UACGGGGGGGGUAAGCGUUGUUCGGAAUUACUGGGCGUAAAGGGCUCGUAGGCGGCCAACUAAGUCAGACGUGAAAUCCCUCGGCUCAACUGAGGAACUGCACGGGAUACUGGAAGACUUGAGUUCGGGAGAGGGAAGCGGAAUUCCGGGUGUAGCGGUGAAAUGCGUAGAUAUCCGGAGGAACACCGGUGGCGAAAGCGAGAUCCUGGACGUUUACUGACGCUGAGACGCGAAAGCUAGGGGAGCGAACGGG